UACGUAGGGGGCAAGCGUUGUCCGGAAUCAUUGGGCGUAAAGAGCGUGUAGGCGGCCUGAUAAGUCGGUUGUGAAAGUCAAGGGCUCAACCCUUGAAUGCCGGCCGAUACUGUCAGGCUAGAGUCCGGAAGAGGCGAGUGGAAUUCCUGGUGUAGCGGUGAAAUGCGCAGAUAUCAGGAGGAACACCGAUGGCGAAGGCAGCUCGCUGGGACGGUACUGACGCUGGGACGCGAAAGCGUGGGGAGCGAACAGG
rnacentral:rRNA from 1 species